AGUGAACGCCGGCGGUAGGCCUAACACAUGCAAGUCGAACGGCAGCACAGUAAGAGCUUGCUCUUACGGGUGGCGAGUGGCGGACGGGUGAGGAAUACAUCGGAAUCUACUUUUUCGUGGGGGAUAACGUAGGGAAACUUACGCUAAUACCGCAUACGACCUACGGGUGAAAGCAGGGGAUCUUCGGACCUUGCGCGAUUGAAUGAGCCGAUGUCGGAUUAGCUAGUUGGCGGGGUAAAGGCCCACCAAGGCGACGAUCCGUAGCUGGUCUGAGAGGAUGAUCAGCCACACUGGGACUGAGACACGGUCCAGACUCCUACGGGAGGCAGCAGUGGGGAAUAUUGGACAAUGGGCGCAAGCCUGAUCCAGCCAUACCGCGUGGGUGAAGAAGGCCUUCGGGUUGUAAAGCCCUUUUGUUGGGAAAGAAAAGCAGCAGGUUAAUACCCCGCUGUUCUGACGGUACCCAAAGAAUAAGCACCGGCUAACUUCGUG
rnacentral:rRNA from 1 species